rfam:Triticum urartu cultivar G1812 contig371483, whole genome shotgun sequence.
UUUAUACUCCCUCCGUCUGGAAAUACUUGUCAUCAAAAUAAAUAAAAGAGGAUGUAUCUAGACAUAUAUUAGUUCUAGAUACAUCCUUUUUUAUCCAUUCUGAUGACAAGUAUUUUCGGACGGAGGGAGUAUUCA